GACGAACGCUGGCGGCGUGCUUAACACAUGCAAGUCGAACAGUAAGGCCCUUCGGGGUACACGAGUGGCGAACGGGUGAGUAACACGUGGGUGAUCUGCCCUGCACUUCGGGAUAAGCCUGGGAAACUGGGUCUAAUACCGGAUAGGACCACUGCCUGCAUGGGUGGUGGUGGAAAGCUUUUGCGGUGUGGGAUGGGCCCGCGGCCUAUCAGCUUGUUGGUGGGGUGAUGGCCUACCAAGGCGACGACGGGUAGCCGGCCUGAGAGGGUGACCGGCCGCACGGGGAGUGAGAUACGGCACAGACUCCUACGGGAGGCAGCAGUGGGGAAUAUUGCACAAUGGGCGCAAGCCUGAUGCAGCGACGCCGCGUGAGGGAUGACGGCCUUCGGGUUGUAAACCUCUUUCAGCACCGACGAAGCGCAAGUGACGGUAGGUGCAGAAGAAGGACCGGCUAACUACGUGCCAGCAGCCGCCGUAA
rnacentral:rRNA from 1 species